UAGAUUUUAAUUUUUAAACGCACGUGUUUAAUUUGUUUGGGAUAAGAUCGAUUGGUAGGUUUUGGGUGUGACUAGACUACACAUGGGUGUGUGAUUGUGUGCUAAUGCUUAAUGUAUAAUUAUUCUAAAAAUCUAUCUACCCUACAAAAAAACAAGUUGAAAGAAGUUUUUUUUAGAUAAAAUGUUUAAAUUUAUCACCAAAAUUUAUUUUUGACAAAGUUACAAAAGAUGAUUCUUAACUUUUAGACUAUAAAAAUCUCUCUUCGUUCGCCAUGGAUGUUCCAAAAGCUUUAAGCUUUGGCUAAUAUAUACGUUGUUGCUCUUUCUUUCUAACAGACAUCCAAGAUUGACGAUGUAGUCUAUUAUGCGUAUGUUGGUGGUGUGAUUCAAGGCGCAGGGAUUUUAACUCCUCCAACACGAAGUUUUAACUUUGCAUCCUUACAUUACCUCAACUGGGAACAAAGGCCGUGUUCUGUGCUUAGAUAUACAGGGAACUUCAAUGUGGGAGAUUAUGCUCAAAGAUUUUUUUGGCAAGGCCUAGAAAAAGCUGUCUGUUUUUUUUCACUGGAAUAGUUCUCGGUGCAGGUAUGUAAAUGAAAAUAGAUUCACCACUCAUUUCCAGUUAGGUGAGUGAGGCCAUCAAAACUAACUGGCUCCUACUUGAAUCAUCCAACAUUUAUGCAACCAAUCCUAGAUAUGAAAAACUACAGUUAAAUUGCACUUUUA